ACUGUCCUGUAGUCCAGGUAGAGAACACACUGUCCAUUCACCUGGCACACAAACUGCCGCACCUAAAGAAAACAAUGUGAGCAGCUGCUGCAGGGCUUCCAGGGUCAACAGCCUGCACAUAACAGGGAGACCUGCCUCUGACAACAAAGCCCCAGCCCAGGGCAUCUCCUAUCACCUGUGAUGGCCGAAGGAUGUUAUGACAGUAUGCUGAGCUGACAUGCUGGGACACGUGGUGUAGUGGGGGAGCAGCUCGCCACAAGUGUUGAACUUGUGUUGGACCCAGGUGGCGUUGUGACCAGAGCCUGACUCAUCGCUGCAGGACCGGAC